GACGAACGCUGGCGGCGUGCUUAACACAUGCAAGUCGAACGAAGUGGCGAACGGGUGAGUAAUACGUGGGUAACCUGCCCUCAUUUUUGGGAUAAGCCUGGAAACGGGGACUAAUACCGAAAAAAGGGGGAUGGGCUCGAGGCCUGUCAGCUUGUUGGGGGGGUGAUGGCAUACCAAGGCGUUGACGGGUAGCCGGCCUGAGAGGGUGACCGGCCACAUUGGGACUGAGAUACGGCCCAGACUCCUACGGGAGGCAGCAGUGGGGUAUAUUGCGCAAUGGGCGAAAGCCUGAUGCAGCCAUGCCGCGUGUAUGAAGAAGGCCUUCGGGUUGUAAAGUACUUUCAGCGGGGAGGCGUUACCCGCAGAGGAAGCACCGGCUAACUCCGUGCCAGCAGCCGCGGUAAUAC
rnacentral:rRNA from 1 species